rnacentral:rRNA from 1 species
UACGAAGGGGGGCUAGCGUUGCUCGGAAUCACUGGGCGUAAAGGGUGCGUAGGCGGGUCUUUAAGUCAGGGGUGAAAUCCUGGAGCUCAACUCCAGAACUGCCUUUGAUACUGAGGAUCUUGAGUUCGGGGAGAGGUGAGUGGAACUGCGAGUGUAGAGGUGAAAUUCGUAGAUAUUCGCAAGAACACCAGUGGCGAAGGCGGCUCACUGGCCCGAUACUGACGCUGAGGCACGAAAGCGUGGGGAGCAAACAGG